AACCUGCGGAAGGAUCAUUAACGUUAGCGCCUCAAAACGCAACGUCUUUUAAUCGAAAAACUUUUGCCGUUAGUGCAAUUUCGAAAGCGAAAACGUAGCACACACGCGCUCUCUUGCGUGUGUGUGUGUUGCGGUCGAGCGCGAGCUUGAGGAUGCGUAAGCCAUCCGUGAGAGACGAGAAGAGAGAGACAUAUGGAGAUGCUGCUUCGGCGCCGGCAGGCGACUCUCGGGUCGUAGCCGUCGUUGCGUGGAUCGUCGCAUCGGGAAUUCGGGCCCCCUCUCUACUCUGCUUGAGAGUUGUUGAGGACGGCAAGGAAACCCCUCGGCUGUAUACGAGCGAUGGACGAUCUUUCAACACGCCAACGAAAGACGCCGUUAGCGCGCUUCUUCUCUCUCUGUAUCAUCUCACGCGAUCGAACGCGAGAAUGUGCGACACGCUAUCUCUCUCAGAGCUCAGCCGCCGACGCGGAUGACUCGCAGUGGCAACCUCGAUGGAACGGUUGAAGCCUACAUGUCCCGUGCGAACGGUGGCGUAGGUCUCUCAAUCCGGAGGUUUUUAAAUGAAUCUUCGCCCGCUAAGACGAGACAUCUCGCGUCGUUUCGACGCAACGCCCGCGUUUACGCGCGGGCCGACGGGCUCCCUCGGAGCCUCGUCACCCCCUGUCUGGUUCGUUGGCCGGGUGCUGCCUUGUUGUGGCCCCGCGUCCAAUCGACUCGUGAACGAACAAAUAUCAAAACACGAUUGCUGACACAAGUCAACAAACGAAUAAUAUUUAAUGAUUACCCUGAACGGUGGAUCACUUGGCUCGUGGG
rnacentral:misc_RNA from 1 species